rnacentral:rRNA from 1 species
UACGUAGGGGGCAAGCGUUGUCCGGAUUUAUUGGGCGUAAAGAGCGUGUAGGCGGCUUUACAGGUCCGUUGUGAAAACUCGAGGCUCAACCUCGAGACGCCGGUGGAAACCGUAAAGCUAGAGUCCGGAAGAGGAGAGUGGAAUUCCUGGUGUAGCGGUGAAAUGCGCAGAUAUCAGGAGGAACACCGAUGGCGAAGGCAGCUCGCUGGGACGGUACUGACGCUGAGACGCGAAAGCGUGGGGAGCAAACAGG